GACGUAGGGGGCCAGCGUUGUUCGGAAUUACUGGGUGUAAAGGGUUCGUAGGCGGUGCGGCAAGUCGGGAGUGAAAUCUCUGGGCUUAACCCAGAGGCUGCUUCCGAAACUGCUGUGCUUGAGUGUGGGAGAGGCGCGUGGAAUUGCAGGUGUAGCGGUGAAAUGCGUAGAUAUCAAGAGGAACACCUGAGGUGAAGACGGGUUGCUGGGCCAACACUGACGCUGAGGCGCGAAAGCCAGGGGAGCAAACGGG
rnacentral:rRNA from 1 species